CCGCCGCCAUGUUUACUGCUGGCAAAAUAGGAGCGAGGGGGGGGAAGAGAAGGAUGCUGAGUGCCUUACUUGUUGUCUGUCAGUCUGGAUGGAGAGAAGCAGCACGGGAGGAGUGCACAGGCUGUUCUGCAGAAAAUUCCAGCCAAGUAGAUUGGUCAUGUCAGACAGCUUGGCAGUGUAUCAGCUGAAAUGGUAAAUGGACUUGGAGAAAAUUCCUGACAGCGGCGGCGAUAUUCACAGAGCGCUUCGGAUGCUGAUCUUUUUUGGGGAGAGAAUUUGGCCAUGAGAUGGUUUUGCUUUUGUCUUUUUGAAACCACAGCUGCUGAAUGUUAGUUACAUGGCUUAAAAUGUAUUUCCAUUCACAUAACUUUCCUGUAAGUAGCAGUUCUUUUAUUUUGUGUAUUUCAAUACAAAAGAUAUGAUGUACUAUACCCCCUCCCCAAACCCUGAACUAUGACUUAAAUGGUAAAAAUAACAUAUUACAAUGCUAAUAAAUACAGCACUGUAGAUACAGUAUGUGGUAACGGCGGGUUGUGUGGUGUCGGGCAGAUGUUAUUACCCUAGGGGCAGAUGGUAUUAACCCCUUGUGUUCGUGAUGCCAGGGCAUGGUUUAGUCUUGUCCACAAGAAGGUAUACCGCUGGACCCUGGGUUAGGCACGGGGGCAAUGAAGACACCGACGCCAAGUUAUGAAACAACGGUAGCUUUACUGAGGGUAGACAGUUGUUACAGUCUAUACAGUACAGCUAAGGCUCAAGGAGGUGACCGGUGACACAGAGACCUCGCAGGAUUGCUGGGACCUGUAGUCGACCGGGGAAUUUAGUGCAGGCCACGCUGGAUAGACAACAGACUUGACUUGACUGACAGGGCUAUGACUUUAGCUUACAGUGCACUUGAUUUGUGGCUGCAGGACUUGACCUGAGGCCUACAAUGCUCUGGACACACACUCUGAGAUGUCUUGACUGGACCUCAGGAACAAGAGAAUGAGGCUAGCUCCACCCAGGGCUUAUAUGGGGGAGACUAGCAGGGAGCCCAUAGGUCACCUUUGGGGUCAGCUGGUCACUAGUACCUCCUGGGUAACAAUCACAUGCGGGACCCCGGCGAUCUGACAUCUUUUCUCCUAUCCUUUGGAUAGGGGAUAAGAUGUCUAGGGGCGGAGUACCCCUUUAAACAGGUUUUCUAGACCCGUUUUUAUAUGCUAGAAAAGCAGCAUAAAUGUUUGAAUAAGUUCCCCCAUAGAGCAAUUUUCCGGAGUUUAGGGGCAGAGUACCCCUUUAAGGGUGCAUUCACACCACAUUUUGGGGAUAUGGCAUCUGGAUCCAAAGGGAGAAUUUAAUGAACAUUCACAGCCGUAUCCCCGCCAGACUUUCGUCGCACCCCAUUCAUUUGAAUGUGCCGGACGGAGUCAGAUAGUGACUCCGGUCGGCUCAUUUUUUAACCUUAUCUGCUGUAUCCCCAAAACGUGCUGUGAAUGCACCCUAAGGGUGUAUUCACACAUACAGUAUCCUGCACAUAUUUGAUGCGCAGGAUUUGAAGCUGCAAAUUUGGAACUGUGUUCACUCAUUUAGUUUAUAUUGAACUCUGCAGCUUCAAAUUCUGAGCUUCAAAUAUGCGCCGGAUACUGUAGGCUUAAUUCACACAUCAAUUAUGCACAAGAUUUGAAGCUGCAGAUUUUAUGCUGCAGAUUCAAAUGUAAACUAAAUUACUGAACACUGCAUCAAAUCUGCAGCUUUAACUCCUGCGCAUCAAAUAUGCCUACUAUGCUGUACGUGUGAAUAGACCUUUAGGGUGUAUUCACACAUCAGUUAGGCACAAGAUUUUCUGCUGCAGAUUUUCUGUAGCAGAGUUAAGUGUAAACUAAUAGAAUGUACAGAGCUUUAAAUCUGCAGCUUUAUAUCCUUUGCAUUAAAUAUGCGCAGGAUACUGUAUGUGUGAAUACAAACAUUAGAGUCUAUUCACACAUGCAGUAUCCUGAGCGUAUUUGAUGCUAUUUUCAGUCAUUUAGUUUACAUUAAAAUCUGCAGCAUCAAAUAUGCACAGAAUACUCUGUGUGAAUACACCCUAAGGGUACGUUCACACGGGCGGAUUUAUUUCCGGGUUU